GAUGAACGCUAGCGGCAGGCCUAACACAUGCAAGUCGAGCGGUAGGGGACUUCGGUUCCUGAGAGCGGCGCACGGGUGCGUAACGCGUAUGCAACCUACCCUCUACAGGGGAAUAGCCCGUCGAAAGGCGGAUUAAUGCCCCAUGGCUCCUUCGAGAGGCAUCUUUUGAAGGGUAAAGAUUUAUCGGUAGAGGAUGGGCAUGCGUGCCAUUAGCCAGUCGGUAGGGUAACGGCCUACCGAGGCUACGAUGGCUAGGGGUUCUGAGAGGAAGGCCCCCCACACUGGGACUGAGACACGGCCCAGACUCCUACGGGAGGCAGCAGUGAGGAAUAUUGGACAAUGGGCGAAAGCCUGAUCCAGCAAUGCCGCGUGAGUGAUGAAGGCCUUAGGGUUGUAAAGCUCUUUUACCCGGGAUGAUAAUGACAGUACCGGGAGAAUAAGCUCCGGCUAACUUCGUGCCAGCCGCCGCCGUAAUAC
rnacentral:rRNA from 1 species